rnacentral:pre_miRNA from 1 species
AGUUUUGCAGAUUUGCAGUUCAGCGUAUAUGUGGAUAUAUGGCUGUGCAAAUCCAUGCAAAACUGA